AUGGCGGCCAGGAGGUUCUUGCAGGCGGCGGCGGAGGGCGUGUCCACGCCAGGCGCCCGGAUCAUCGCCGACGACAGGGACAUCGUCAUCAUCCUCGCCUCGCUGCUCUGCGCGCUCAUCACCGUCCUCGGCAUCGGCCUCGUCGCCCGCUGGUGCGCGUGCGGCGGCGCGGAAGCCAGGGCGCGCGCCGCCGCCAACAGGGGCGUCAAGAAGUCGGUGCUCCGCGCCAUCCCCACCGUCGCCUACGUCUCCGCUGACGCCGGCAAGGGCAAGGGCAAGGAGGAGGAGGCCGCCGCGGCGCCCGAGUGCGCCAUCUGCCUCGCCGAGUUCGAGGACGGCGAGGCCAUGCGCGUGCUGCCCCAGUGCGGCCACGCCUUCCACGCCGCCUGCGUCGACAAGUGGCUGCGCGGCCACUCGUCCUGCCCCUCCUGCCGCCGGAUCCUCGCCGUCCACCUGCCGGCCGGCCAGCGCUGCCAGCGCUGCGGCGCGCGGCCCGACCCCGCCACCUGGAAGCCGCCGGGCCAGUACGGCGAGAUGCCGCCCUUCUUGCCGUAG
rnacentral:rRNA from 1 species